rnacentral:rRNA from 1 species
GAUCAUGGCUCAGAUUGAACGCUGGGCGGAAUGCUUUACACAUGCAAGUCGAACGGUAACAGGUCUUCGGAUGCUGACGAGUGGCGAACGGGUGAGUAAUAUAUCGGAACGUGCCCAGUCGGUGGGGGAUAACGUAGCGAAAGUUACGCUAAUACCGCAUACGAUCUAUGGAUGAAAGCGGGGGAUCGCAAGACCUCGCGCGAUUGGAGCGGCCGAUGUCAGAUUAGCUAGUUGGUGGGGUAAAGGCCCACCAAGGCGACGAUCUGUAGCUGGUCUGAGAGGACGACCAGCCACACUGGGACUGAGACACGGCCCAGACUCCUACGGGAGGCAGCAGUGGGGAAUUUUGGACAAUGGGCGCAAGCCUGAUCCAGCAAUGCCGCGUGCAGGAAGAAGGCCUUCGGGUUGUAAACUGCUUUUGUACGGAACGAAAAGGCUCUGGUUAAUACCUGGGGCUCAUGACGGUACCGUAAGAAUAAGCACCGGCUAACUACGUG